rnacentral:rRNA from 1 species
GAUGAACGCUGGCGGCGUGCUUAACACAUGCAAGUCGAACGAUGAAAGCGGGAGCUUGCUCCUGCUGGAUUAGUGGCGAACGGGUGAGUAACACGUGAGCAAUCUGCCCCGAACUCUGGGAUAAGCGUUGGAAACGACGUCUAAUACCGGAUACGACGCGCGAAGGCAUCUUCUGCGCGUGGAAAGAAGUUCGGUUCGGGAUGAGCUCGCGGCCUAUCAGCUAGUUGGUGAGGUAACGGCUCACCAAGGCGACGACGGGUAGCCGGCCUGAGAGGGGGACCGGCCACACUGGGACUGAGACACGGCCCAGACUCCUACGGGAGGCAGCAGUGGGGAAUAUUGCACAAUGGGCGAAAGCCUGAUGCAGCAACGCCGCGUGAGGGACGACGGCCUUCGGGUUGUAAACCUCUUUUAGUAGGGAAGAAGCGAAAGUGACGGUACCUGCAGAAAAAGCACCGGCUAACUCCGUGCCAGCCGCCGCGGUAAAAC